CUCACACUGCAGGUUCGCCUCACACACUUCACGCAGACUGCAGACAGAGAAAGAAGGGAAUUGGGGGAAAGAAACCACCAAAGUACACAUGAUACAUCAGAGCAGGUCCCUAAGCUCUGCAGUGCUGCAGUGUGCGGUGAUCACAUGACCUAAUGCUGCAGGAUUCAAAUGACUAUGCGAGGGAGUUUCUGUUUUCUGCUCUGACAUUGCGGCUCAGAUGGCUGAAGAUGAGAGACUUUAAUGGGAAUGUAACAGUAACCCCACCCCAAAGGAAUCUGGGAUGACAGAGGAAUGAGGAUGACAGCUACAGCCACCACCCAUGCUUCUUCUUGGGACAAGACAUCUUGGGGUAA